rnacentral:lncRNA from 13 species
AUGAGACUCUACUUCAAAAAUAAAACAAAACUCCCAAAAUCAGUUAGGAGACUCUACUUCAAAAAUAAAACAAAACUCCCAAAAUCAGUUAGGCCUGGUGGGAAUCCCUGUAGCCCCUGCUCUUCAGGUGGCGGAGGCAGGAGAAUUGCUUUAGCCUGGGAGGUUGAGGCUGCAGUGAGCUAUGACGGUGCCGCUGUACUCCAGCCUAUCUCAAAAAACAAAAACAAAACAAAAAAGGAAACAAACAAAAGUCUAAAGGAGUCCCAGGCCAUGGAGGUUCAGGAUGAGCAGGUCUGGGCAGAAGGGCCAGCAGCAGAAUGGGCAGUGGUAGGGCCGCUUUCUUCCCCCUCCUGUUUUCUCAGCCUCGGCCCUCAAGACUCAACUCACCCUCCAACUGGACAGUGUUGGGCACCUGAUCCAGGAUCCACUUCCCAGUCAGCAGGAGGAUGGAGAAGCGGGCGGGAUGGGAGACAACCUCCUUUGCAGGGCGUGACUUGGAAGUUGGAGACGUCAUUUCCAUCUACAUCCCCUGGACCAGAACUAGCUCCGAGAUCAACUCUGGCUGCCAGAGAGUCUGAGAAAUACGGCCUCUGCUCGGGCGAUCAGGCAGGCAGUUAAUUUUGGGGAACACCUCUCACUCCCUGGGAACACCUGGGCAGAAACUGAAAGACAUUUAAUGGAUUCACUUUUAUGUCUACUGCCCUCAUCAGCGGGGGCUCUCCUACAUGCUGGGUGCAUACCUCAUCUUCACACAGCCCAGCGACGGAGCACACCAUUCCCAGGCUGCAGAUGCAGGAACUGAGAGUUGAGUGACAGGUCUGGAUUCAGUCAGUUAGCAGAUGGCAGGGCUGGGAUUGAGACCCAGGCCUGGCUGGUCCUGCCAGGACACAGUACCACAGCUUUGAUUGGGUGCUUCUUUUUGUUUACAUGGAUUUUUUUUUAUGGUCAAUGUACAUUCUUUUGAAAUACACAGAAAAGGGAAAGAAGCUGGAGUCCUGCCUUGCGUAGGAGGGAUAAGUUGGAGGUGUGCACGGGGAUAAAUCUCCCUCCCACCCUGGCCCUGGUCCUGGCCCUGGUUCUGGUCCUUGCCUUGGGCGGCGAUUCCCGGCACUGGCUGAGCGUCGCCGGCCACCAGGGGACGCUGCCGGGCUACCGGUCUGCUCGGCCCGGGAUCGCAGCUUC